CAUGCUUCUAUUUGUCUUAUCUGUCCUGGUCUAUUUUUGGAUGCUCUGAGCUUACCUGGGGCAUUAAGGAGGCCUCAGGGCUCUGGGGCUGAGGGGCUCCCUUGGCCAUCCCUAGGAGUGGCUACACUUUUCGCCUGCUGUCCCCGACUCUGGCCAGUCAAGACCCAUGGGCCCAGCCCAGUCCCCAAUUCCAUCACUCACUCUGGGUCAGCUGGUAGGAGUCAGGCCAACCAGCCAGCAGGUUCCAUUAAAGAGGGGAGAGCAAGGGUCUUUCACUUUAUUAAAGGCUUCUCUGCAGUUGUUUGAAAAUACUGGGUGUCCUUUCAAGACUAACAGGUGACCGUGUGCAGUUUCCUCGAGCUCCUAUGAGAAAGCAGUUGCCCUCCUUCCCAAGGCUUGCUUGUCCCCUGCAGGCUGGGGCUGCCUCUUCUCAGGAAGAACAAGGACCGAAGCCAGGGCCCCUUGUUCCUGUCCCUACUCUGUCCCGGUGCUGUGUGGCUGUGGGCCGGUUCCACCCUCCACGCUGUUUUCCCGAGUAUCUAUGAAGAGGGUCGGUUGGCCCUGCUCUGAGGCUGGUGACCGGACAGAAACUUCCAGGAUGAAGACCUGAAGGGAGAGCCUGGAUCACAGGGCACUUCCAGCAGAAUCUAGAGCCCCAGGGAUUUGGGGAUGGAUGCGGACACCCGGGCCUGAGGCAGCCCGCGGCCUUGAUCGAGUUCCACGCUAGCUGAAGCCCAGGGAUCUCCCAGAAUCUUCCUCAGGAUCAAUCUUCUGCCUUUCGCCGGCCCUGCGCCCCCGCAGCGUUGGGUCCUGGGCGUGCACCCCUGCCCGCUGUGGUCAAGGCCCGCCCCGGUGACGCCUGGUCCUUUUCCCGGGUUGGCGCCGCGUGCGACCCACCGAGGCAGUGGCAGCACUGGCCGCGGUCUGGAGCCUAGCGUCAGGCCGGAGUCCGGCUCUUCUGGACCAGGAGACCGGCUCAGCCCCCACCCCCGCGGGGAGACCGCCCCGACCGCUCCCACCCCGCGGCCGCCGGACCGCGCCCAGCAGCGACUCCUUCUGAGCGCGCGGCCAGCGGGGCCGCGGGAGCCGCAGAGCGCGCGUGGGCGCGGCGCCCGCGAGCCCCGGGAGGGCCGAGCGCAUCGCGGGAGCGAUCACCGCCCGGCCCGGCCACCGCCGUAGCCGCCACCACGGCGGGGCGGGGCACGGGCCGGGGGCGGGGCGCCGGGCGGGCGCGGCGCUAUUUCCAGCCUCGCCGGAGGCUUCGCUCGCACUUCGCUGGGAGCCUUCCCGGCGCGCAAGCCGGAUCCGGCAGUGCUGCGGGGAGAAGAGAGGACGAGGCGGCGGCGGCGGCGGCGGCGGGAGGUGGGGACCGAAUGCGCCGGGGGCCGAAGAGGAACGCCGCACCGCGCCCUCUCGCUACCCGCGCCCUCCGGCCGCCGGCCCCACGCUUCUCGCCCACAAAUCGCACCGGGUUCCGCUCGGAGCGGGAGGAGACACCGGGCCCGAGCUGGGGCGGAGGUCCUCUCCGCCGCCUGCGCGCCCCGAGCGGAGGAUCCACCGCGGAGAACCGCGCCCGGACUGGAGGCGCCCGCGGCCUCGGGAGCGUUAGCUGCGCCAGGUUUAAAGGUCAACAAGAAUAUCUUACCUUAAUUUGACAAGUACACAAGAAAUAAUGCAAGACUCGUUUAUGUUCAGGUAAUGCACAAAGAAAUCUAUAAAUCAAGCUGAGGGAAUAUUAGAUGAUGCCAUAUCGGAACCCUCUGCCUUCAUUCUCAGAAGAAUCGAUACCACAAAGAAAGCGCCAAAGACGUAGUGAUUUAUGCCCUUGUGUCGGGGGAAAAAUAUCAGCCGUUUUUACAGUCACUUCCUAUCCUAAAACAACAGGGCCUGAGGAAAAGAAUGAGAGUGGGCCUAACCCCGAAUGAAUGAGUCAGACAGCACAUCUGACACUCGGGUUUCGAUUGUCUCUGCCGGAGAAAGAAUGGUCCCAAGGUCCUUUCAUCCCCAUGACUCUGCCCCUUCUGCUAUUGUAUUUAUAUGAGAGGCUGCCAGGAAUGUUGAGAUGGUGUGGAAGGGAAUUAACUAAAUUGCAUCUAUGUGAUUGUUGCCAGGGGGUGGAGGCUUGUAUAGCUUGGGGACCCUGGGUUUUCCAUGCCAUGCACACUGCCUAACACUCUGCCCUCCUUGGGAGAGCCUUCGUUGGCCUUGGUCGUGGAGCUGGGGGAACGUACAGCCUCCGCCAUAUUGGAUAUUGGGCUUGUCCAGAGAUGUCUCAAAUGGGAAGAGGUGUCCGGGCUUUGUGAGCGGGGAAAGAUAGCCUCUGAGCAAUUAGGGUUCAGAAAAAUAGUGGAAUCAUCUUACCACCUACAGCAGAAGUGGUUGUGGAGAGCAGAAGUUCUCCAGGGAGGUGGAGGGGAGGAAGAACAGAUCACGUGACCCUCUGGCAAGUAUAUGAGAAUCUCUGGGGAGGGAAAGGAAAAUUUGUAAGACUUGAAUAUUGAAUAAUUUGAGAGGCUUUUUUUGUGGGGUACUUCAAAAUACAAAGUUAUAUUUGUGUAAUCAAAUGAUAAAAAUUAAGGCUUUUCAUCUUUUUCCUGGUGGGUAGAGCUCUGCAGAAUUUUGAAUAAAAGAGAUUUGGAGAUUCUGAAAUUUUGCUCGGUGACACUCGUGUUAGGACAUACAGACUGUCGUGUGUGUAUGUUGCCAUUUAUACUGUGGUUCCCAUCACGGGUCAGAAACAAGCAUUUUCUGUUUGAACAUGAGGAUAUGCUUAGAGGAGGAAAGUUUGAUUUUUGUAUUUAUAACAGAGUAGCACAAAAAUGGGUCCAUGAGCCUCAGGAAACGUAUUUGUGUUGCAUCCUUAGUUUUAUCCUUUCCUAGAGUUGAAGUUGGUUCUAAUACUAUGAGAGCGAAAUCCAAGGGCCCUCCCACCAAGCAGAGUCGUUCCCAUCAGCCACAGGCAUCAGUGCACGGUGCUCAUGACCUUUUGUGCUAAACAAACCCACAGACACACAGAUGCAUUCCUGCUUCUUGGAGCCCAGGUGUGGAUGGAUGCCUGACCUGCUCCAUCACCCUUUGGCUGCUGACCACAGAGUUCACAUUGCCGUCUGCAAACCAAACGUGAGCGUUAGGACUCUCGUUUUCAUUUUCUUCAUCCCGUUUGGGGGUAGCUAAAGAUGAUGGAUUUAUGUCUAUUGCAAAGAUGGCGGUGUGCACCUUCCUGGAGGUGCUGGCAAAUUCCAGGCGGUGAUGCCAAACCACUCUCGUGCCUUAAAUAAUGUUGGAUCGAGAUCAUGUGAAAUUUAUUCUAAAACCUGUGGUUUUUAUUUCUUCCUGCAAAGCUCCAUUCUCUGCUUCACAUGAGAGAAAUUAGCAAUGAAACACCUCGUCAGGAUCCAAAACGCCUGCCACCCAUCUGUGCAAAACCCUGGCAGUCCUCGAGGAGACAAAUCCUCACCUUCCUGGAGAACUUCCAUGAAACCUGCAGUGAGGGCAGCCAGACCUUAACUUGGCAAAGAAACUGUGAAGGCAGCCUGGAGCGCCAAACUAUUAACUUAGUGAGAGUGGCAGGCUUCGAGUUUUGCAAAAGCCCAAAUCUAUUAUUUGACUAUUAGUUGCAAUGAAUGGAUGAUGAAGGGAACCAACGCAGAUAUGCAUGAGGCAUGGCCGAAGAUGCUAUCAUCGAGGAAAUGCUGUUUUCUUAAGCUUUGGUGACUAACUAUAGAAUUGAUUAUGUCUUAGAACGGAGUCAAAUUUCUUCUAAGUGAGCCAAAUUGGAAAAUAAUAUUAAACUUCCAUCAGGGGUGUUCCAGAAAUGCCAAAUUCAAGACAAGGAUUGUGUCCGUUUCUAUGUGUGUGAAUACACGGGGAAACCUUUUAGAUAUUUGCAGAAUAUACUCCAUCAUUUCCUGCCAAGCGUCAGCUUCUAGUAUUUCGCCAAGUUUUUUAGAAGACUUCAACCUUGUUAGCAAACUAAUUAAGCAGAAAGAAAGAAAGAAAAAAUGCACAAAAAAACGAAAACAAAACCCCAAUGCAUUGAAUGCUUUGCUGUUUUCCUGAUGCUGUGAAGUUGAAUGUCAGUGAAUUAAAUUGCACACUGGGUUCUUCUGAUCUGAACUGAAAUUGUCAAAGAUGUUGGGUGAGUCUAUGGGCUGAAGGUUACCAUAUUUUUAAUCAUCUGAGAAAAGACCAACUGCACCAAACUUUCAAAAUUGAUCAUUCUGAAUAGUGCUUGGCAUACUCAGCGGACAUGAUUGAAAUAGUUUUGCAGACACAGAGCGUAAACGUAAAAUACUGACCCGAUCGCCUGUCCUGACACACACUAGCAGUGGUAGCCCAGGGCCAGCGCUGGCUGCAGAGGCACGGUGCCAAGAUCGGCCGCUCGUUUCCCUUUCUUGAUGAAGUGCUUACAGGCCAGUUUCUGGAAGCCCUUUCCAGGAGCAUCACAUUUUUCUGUGGGCCUGCCUGCAGCCUGAGCUCCCGAGAUAUUUCCUAAAGACCUCCAUUAGAAGCUUCCACUGCUUCCCUUACUUGCAGGCGUUCAGUCUUUGCCAACAUUAGGUUGAUGGAAUUGUCUGAGAGAGCAUGUCGGGGGGCUCUGUUCAUCUCCCCAAAGUAGUCACUGACAUGAGUGACACUCUUGUAUGCCAGGCACUGCUCCCUUAUUGCCCAUUUUGUCUUCAUGAUAACCUUGCAAGGUAGCCACAAGAGAUUAUUACUCCCAUUUUGCAGAUGAGGAAACUGAGGCAUGAAGAGGUUAAGUAGCUUAUGUAGCUGGUAAGUGGCGGAACCAGAGUCUGAACCCAGGCAUCCUGGCAGCUCCAGCCUCCUUCUCCCAGUCAUCACUAUGUGUUCCGUUGUUCUGUUUCCAUUUCACUCACAUAUAAUGAGCAGCUAAGUUUCCUGAGUCUCUGGAUAGCAGUGGGGGCCCAGCUUGCCGAAAAGAGUGAAUUACAAUUUUUACAAGAUCCAGAAUAUCCACAUCAGAAAAGCUCAUGGCCGGCAAGUGUGAUAUCAACACACGUUGAUAUCACAGCAUCAAAGUAAAAGCUAUGUAAUUUUCAAUAUCCAAAUAAAGACUUCUC
ensembl:lncRNA